ACCUUUGUUUGCCAUAUUCAAACAACGUGGUUCUUAGGUUAAAGCAUGUUUAGAAGAAAUGGCACCUACGGUUUCGGCGGGGUGGAAAGAAGAUAUUGAUAUUGAAUACAUUAAAUCGUGUGUUUCUGAUAAAUUUUCUUGUAUUAAGCACGUUAGAAAAUCAAUUCACAUCCCACUUUCUCCUGUUUAUAUAGGAGAUGAAGUUAAAGGAGUUCUUCACCUACUAAGUUGUUGGAAACGACAGUAUGUCAAGAGGAUUUACCACUAUUUAGUUGGGAAAAUUUCCUCAAUUGGACCAUACUAACACAGAAAAGGAACUUCAGCACAGAAAAGUACCAAAAGCUGCAGUAAUGGAUAAUCAGAUGCUGGACCAGUGAUGUUUAAAGCCCAAAUUUUCCAAAGUGGCACCUGUUUCGGGUGCAAGGGGGUUGCCAUGAAACCUUGUAAGUGUCGUGAAUGUUGAGAUAACCUAGCCUAUAGCCAAGUGCAUGAAAUUUACUAUGAAAGUAAAAAUAUCGAUCCAAUUUUAAACUUAAAUCGUUUCUGAAUUAAAAU